CCCCAGGAGACAGCUGUACCAGGCCUGGCCCCUCACCUCCCUGGCCCUCAGGUGGCAGCCUGUGGUGGGGCCUGGCCUGCCUUUCUCCCCUGGACAGUAACAAGUGUCACAAAGGAGGGCCUGCUGGGCCUGGUGGGUAGGGGUGAGCAGCACAGACCUCCCCAUUCUCAGCAGGAAUCCAGCCAAGUCCCCAGGGCGGCCACGCAGUGCUGGGGUGUGGACCCAGGAGUGCCCAACUCCAAAGCCCUGAGAUACCUUCCCUGGCUUCAGGCCGGCCCUCCUCUCAGGUCACCUCUCUUCUGGGUCACCCUUCAUCAUCCUCAUGCUGGUGGCUCCCAGCUUUCUUCUGACCCCAAAAGUGCCUGGCGUCAUGUUAAUUCUUUCCUCUGUUCAGGCAGUAUUGGCUGUCUUCCUUGUGCCAGGCACGGCUUCCCACCUCUGUCCCUGUGCCCAGCUGCACCCACCCUCUUCCCCCAGCAAGCUGCAGUGUUUACCCCCCAGGGCUCUCCCCCCCCCCCCCGUGGGCUGCAGUGUUUACCCCCCCCCAGGGAGCCACAGUGUUUAUCCCCCCAGGGCCCUCCCCCAGGGAGCUGCAGUGUUUACCCCCCAGGGCCCUCCCCCAGGGAGCUGCAGUGUUUACCCCCCCCAGGGCCCUCCCCCAGGGAGCCACAGUGUUUAUCCCCCCCGGGCUUUCCCCCAGGGAGCUGCAGUGUUUACCCCCAAGGGCCUUCCCCAAGGGAGCUGCAGUGUUUACCCCCCAGGGCUCCUCUGGGGCUGGCCCAGGACCUUCCCGUCAGAGCCUCCCCCACCGUUUUGGCCUCAACUGAUGUGUUGCUUUCUCUGAGUGCCCACUCUGCUGCAGAAUUCCUGUGCACUUCUCUGGGAAUGCCCGGAGCCUCUCCCUCCCCUAGGACUUGGAGCUCUAGGACCUGGGUCAGCCUUCACUGUGUGUUCUUUGGGCUCCAGCCCUCUGUGAAUGAAGGCUCUGCUCAUGUCAGGGUUCAGGGAGGGGGUGGUGCCACAGUCAGCCAUGUGAAAACAUGCGGAGGGAGGCCCAGCCUAGGAGAGAGGCCUGGACACACCUGGCGGGACAUAGAUCGUGGCUGUGUGUCCUGA
rnacentral:lncRNA from 1 species